GACGAACGCUGGCGGCGUGCUUAACACAUGCAAGUCGAACGGAAAGGCCCUGCUUUUGUGGGGUGCUCGAGUGGCGAACGGGUGAGUAACACGUGAGUAACCUGCCCUUGACUUUGGGAUAACUUCAGGAAACUGGGGCUAAUACCGGAUAGGAGCUCCUGCUGCAUGGUGGGGGUUGGAAAGUUUCGGCGGUUGGGGAUGGACUCGCGGCUUAUCAGCUGGUUGGUGGGGUAGUGGCUUACCCAGGGUUUGACGGGUAGCCGGCGUGAGUGGGUGACCGGCCACAUUGGGACUGAGAUACGGCCCAGACUCCUACGGGAGGCAGCAGUGGGGAAUAUUGCACAAUGGGCGGAAGCCGGAUGCAGCAACGCCGCGUGCGGGAUGACGGCCUUCGGGUUGUAAACCGCUUUCGCCUGUGACGAAGCGUGAGUGACGGUAAUGGGUAAAGAAGCACCGGCUAACUACGUG
rnacentral:rRNA from 1 species